UUAUUUUGAACUAGAUUUAUAUUACCAGGUUAGUAGUAGUUAUGUGCUUGAAAAUUAAAGAAGAUGGCGGUAUUUUAGUCUAUUCAGAGGAACCUGUCCUAUAAUCGAUGAUCCACGAUUUAUUAUACUUAUUUUAUAAGUUUGCAUAUCGCCGUAGAUUGAAUGUCCUUGAAGGGAUUUAAACAUUCAAGAGGUUUUUAUUUGUGAAAUUAAAUCAGGUCAAGAUGUAGCUAAAAAUAAGAAGAGAUGGGUUA
rnacentral:rRNA from 1 species